GGCACUUCUUCAUGCUGCCUUGCGAAGAAGCUGGCUUGCUUCCUCUUUGUCUUCCGCCAUGAUUGUAGAUUUCCUGAGGCCUCCCAAGCUGUGCUGAACUUAACAAUUUGGACAAGACAGCAAAUGCUAUUGUCCAAGUUUUCUAAAGAAGAAUCUGAAGUGAAAUGACAUCAAGAGACCUAUCAAGACCUGUAUCCAGGAAAAGACCAAACCAAUGCAGACCAAACCAAUGCAGAACUCCUAUGUGCUGAUGGUGGUCUUACAUUUCCCUAAGUUUCUGCCGACUAAACUGUGCACACGUUCUCAGGACCUCCUGAAGCUGCGUCACAGGCACUAAUCAAAGAACACAACCAAGAGUUUGGCCUUUUCUUCAGCACUGGGAAUUGUGAUCCAAAGCUUUUCCCGAUGAAGCACAAAGUUGGAGAAAAAAAAACGCAAACUAAACAACCACAAUGAAACAGAACAGAGUUAAUCUGCUGUAGCUCAAGAGAGGAUGUACCUGCCCCCACCCCGCAUCCCUGGGCUCGGGUUUGCCUUGCUGACCUCUGCUGCCACCUGGUGCCACACAGAGAAACUGAGGAGAAACCACAUCAGUCUCCUUCAGCCUCAGCUUCACAUCUGUGGGUCAAGUAACCCUUUCAGAAGCUGAAUAAUGUGGGAAAGCUUUCCUCUCAGGAAAAUGCACACAUCCAACUUUGAGAAGAUGCCCUUGGGGGCGCUUCAAGGAUUCUAGAUAAUAACCCCCUUUCCCGAACAUCCAAGAACCUAAGAUUUUUUUUUUUUUGAGAAAGUCUCGCUCUCUCUCCCAGUCUGGAGUGCAGUGGCGUGAUCUUGGCUCACUGCCAGCUCCACCUCCCAGGUUCACGCCAUUCUCCUGCUUCAGCCUCCCAAGUAGCUGGGGCUACAGGCACCUGCCACCAAACCCGGCUAAUUUUUUUGUAUUUUUAGUAGAGACGGGGUUUCACCGUGUUAGCCAGGAUCGUCUUGAUCUCCUGACCUUGUGAUCCACCCGCCUCGGCCUCCCAAAUUGCUGGGAUUACAGAUGUGAGCCACCGCACCUGGUCCAAGAACCCAAGUUUUAGAUCUAGAGUGAUGUCAGCAUGACAUUGAUUUCCUGAGGCCCAGGGGCGAAGGAGCUGAGGACAGCAGAGGGGUGAAGGAACUCAGCUACAGACAGCAGCAGCUGAUGCACAGGCCUCCCAGCGCCUGAAGUCACCCGGAAUUGGGAAGUGCUCAGAAGCUUACAAAGCUGCCUCGAGGAACAGUAAGAGGACCUUGUGCAUGAAUAAUUUGUUUCCACACUGCAGACAGAAGAAUCCCAGACUUCUUAGAGAACCCAGUGACUUUUUGCACCUUAAAUCUGUGAAAUCCUCAUGCUUUCUUCUGCCGUAUCCAUCGUUCAAACAAACAUGAGGCAAAGCUAGACACAUUCCUGAAGGAACCCAAGAAAUUCCUCUCUUUCUCUCUCUGGAAUGAAAUGAAUUCUCUAGACCACCAGUUCUAACCUUCAAAAACGAAACCUGUUUGUGAGAUCUCCUUCAAAUACUACUGUAGACCCCAGUGUUUAUUCAUUAAAUUUUUUAAACAUUUGUUUUA
rnacentral:sRNA from 1 species